CCUACGGGUGGCAGCAGUGGGGAAUAUUGCACAAUGGGCGAAAGCCUGAUGCAGCAACGCCGCGUGAGCGAUGAAGGCCUUCGGGUCGUAAAGCUCUGUCCUCAAGGAAGAUAAUGACGGUACUUGAGGAGGAAACCCCGUCUAACUACGUGACAGCAGCCGCGGUAAUACGUAGGGGGCUAGCGUUAUCCGGACUUUGUGGGCGUAAAGGGUACGUAGGUGGUUUCUGAAGUCAGAGGGGAAAGGCUACGGCUCAACCGUAGUAAGCCUUUGAAACUGGGUAACUUGAGUGCAGGAGAGGAGAGUGGAAGUCCUGGUGUAGCGGUGAAAUGCGUAGAUACUAGGAGGAACACCAGUUGCGAAGGCGGCUCUCUGGACUGUAACUGACACUGAGGCACGAAAGCGUGGGGAGCAAACAGGAUUAGAUACCCCAGUAGUC
rnacentral:rRNA from 1 species